rnacentral:lncRNA from 1 species
GUCGAGGUGCGGGUGAGGGUGGGUGUGGUGCGCGGCAAAUGAGGAUUGAAGACGUAUAGCAUCUCAACAAAAGAUAGAAGAUGCCUGUGUUGAGGAAAGGUGACUGUUUUCAUUCCUUUGAUGAGCUAGAUGCCCAUAUCCGUGAAUUGGAGGCCGAGACGAAUGUGAAGUUUUUCAAGUCGAGCUCUGUCACUCUUGGUAAAUUUCUUCAGACAAAUCCUGGGCACUUCAUUUCAAAGUUGGUUGCUGACCGUGCUGACAAGGAGGCGCUUUUGCAGCAGAAAAAGUACCGUCUCGUUAAAUUUUCAUGCACUCAUGGUGGGCGCCAGUACGAAAGCAAAGCUGGUGAUCGUCGUGUCCGAAACACGAGAACCAAAAAAGUCGGCUGUCCCGUAAGCAUCCUAGUGUUUCUGGAAAAAGUCAUUGCGUUUAGAGAUUAGGGACAUCUCACUGGAGCAUUCCCACCCGGUGUCGAAGGCAAGCUUUCUGCUGCAGCCAGAAAAUCGUCGCCUGCCUGCGUCCUAAAGGCAGCGUCACCACAGUCGUGGGAUCAGCAAAGAAAUAAGAGUACUGAACAGCAACGGUGGAUGGUGGGAGCGCUGGAUUACACCGUCCACGUACUCGGCUUUAAACCCGCCAUCAUCAUGCACCGCGUGGUCACGGUGUUCCACGAAUUUGACAUAACUUCGUUCAUCGGAAACGCCUGGACUUCCCGGAUACCUGUAGAGCUCUUAGGCUUCUUCUAUUGUAGAGAACAGGCUCGAUAUCUAUAUUCGUUUGCAUGUCAUGAUGUGAAUAGCUAGUUUGCCAAGAUACAUCUUCAUGUACAUAUAUGAGUAUUGCAAGCCCAUCCAGAGACUUUGAAAGGCUGAAAGCGUUUCCGACUAUCUGUGUUGAUUGUUUCCAAACUGGAUAAGCUUUGUUAAAUAGCACCACUCACCAAGUAAUGGUUGCUUACGUCCAACCUCCUGCGUCCCUGGAUGUCCUUGCACUAUCUCCUCACUAGUCGAGAUGAACGUUGAGCGAGCUUAGAUCUGUCGUGUACCUGAACUAAGUAGCUGAAGUGAACUAAGUAGCCUCGUCAAAUGUCUGAUGCGUUCUUCGUCGACAGUUCCACAUAUGCGAGAACUGACUGGGUAAUUGUAUACUUGCCCCAUGCGAGGAAGACGCAUACAAAUGUAUGUACAAUUUUGCUUUGUGCUAGUUUAACCAGUGACCGCUAAGGAGAAUGUGUUUUAAAAAAUACCAACAUGAGAACAUUGCUUUGGCUACUUAUUCAAUGUGUCGGGCCGCUGUUAUAUAAUUGUUUAGUGCGUUCAACAAUUCUCAGCCAUGGUUGUUAUUGGUGUUUUUUGACACUGGUUGUGCUCGCACGCUUUGAAUCUAGUCAAGAAGAACGUUGAUGAUUGUGCGUAGUGGUGGGUUUCCAUGCAUCUCAGCACUCAGGGUGUGCCUUUGUUAGUGUACGGGAUUUGUUGGCAUGUGAGAAAGUUUUCCUGACAACACGGCAUGUCUGGCCGCUCCAAUGCGGUAAAAUACCUGCGCUGUUGUGACAUGGUUGCUACUUCUCAUUGCAUGCAUCUGUGAUAAGCUCGUACGGCUGCGUGCCCAGAACUGCAUUUCGCGUACCUUCCAAGGCUGUGGUUAUCCCAGAGAGGUCAUUGACCUCAAUACUUUAAUACAUUUAAA